GUUCGGUUCGGUCACUCUUUGGUGGGUCUUUUUUCCACAUGUUAUUUUUAGCACUCUGACAGUCUGACAGAAACUGAAGGGGCGAGGCCACACUCACACAUACAGAGAGCAAGGGGUGGUUGACAGGCAGGAUAUUAAGGCUGCCAUGUGUCCCUUGUCCCGUGUCCAUAUGGUGCAGCGUCAUAUCAAAAUCAAUGCAUCAGCCACAACAGCAGAAGCAGGAGCAGCAGAAGGAGCAGCAGCAGGAGUAGGAGUAGCUGAACAACAAAGGUUGAAAUUCCGCAAUUGUAAUUAAAAAUUCAUUUUUCAAUCUUUUUCAUCUUCGCCCAGGCCGGCAUAAACGACAAUAUUAAAUGUGCAAUUAAUUGUUA